GACAGAGGGGGCAAGCGUUGCUCGGAAUUACUGGGCGUAAAGGGCGCGUAGGCGGUCUACUAAGUUGGAUGUGAAAACUCUGGGCUUAACCCAGAGCCUGCAUUCAAAACUGAUAGGCUAGAGUUCUGGAGGGGAUAGCGGAAUUCCUGGUGUAGCGGUGAAAUGCGCAGAUAUCGGGAGGAACACCUAUGGCGAAGGCAGCUCGCUGGGACGUUACUGACGCUGAGACGCGAAAGCGUGGGGAGCAAACAGG
rnacentral:rRNA from 1 species